UACAGAGGGGGCAAGCGUUGUUCGGAAUUACUGGGCGUAAAGGGCGCGUAGGCGGCCCGCUAAGUCGAACGUGAAAUCCCUGGGCUCAACCCAGGAACUGCGUCCGAUACUGGCAGGCUUGAAUCCGGGAGAGGGAUGCGGAAUUCCAGGUGUAGCGGUGAAAUGCGUAGAUAUCUGGAGGAAUACCGGUGGCGAAGGCGGCAUCCUGGACCAUUACUGACGCUGAGGCGCGAAAGCUAGGGGAGCAAACGGG
rnacentral:rRNA from 1 species